UUGUGCAUACCGAAGAAGAAUGGGGGAUCGGAUUUUAGGGACCUUCACAGUUUCAAUUUUGCUGUGUUAGCAAGGCAGUGUUGGCGACUAAUCUAGAACCCACACUCUUUAAGUGCACAAGUGCUUCAAGAUAAAUACACUCCGGAUGAUAACAUUCUAAAUGCGGGCCCAAAGAAGGGAUCUUCAUUUAUGUGGCAGAGUAUAGUAGCAGGUAUACAGACUUUCAAAGGCAAUGUUGGCAGAUGGUUAAGGGAGUUUCAGUCCAAUCAGUGGAGAAAACGACAAUAUCUAUUCGAGUUCUAG
rnacentral:rRNA from 1 species